GUAGGUGAACCUGCGGAGGGAUCAUUCACAUGAUUACUUUAUGAAACAAACCGUGAACUUUAUAUACUAUUCGUGUUGUAUUUGAUUUAUCAUUUAUUUACACUGUCAUUCGAUGAACAUUAGAUAGCUGGCUCGUUUAUUUAUUUAAACUUUCUCAGCUGAUUUGUUUGUUAGACGAAACAUCUAUUCAAUCAAUCAAUCAAACAUAGAAACAACUCUAUGCCCUGGAUAUCUUGGUUCUC
rnacentral:misc_RNA from 1 species